rfam:Eimeria mitis, Houghton, WGS project CBTT01000000 data, contig: Emh_scaff6200_1
GACGCCAACUGUGGUGAACUAUGCCUGAGUAGGGUGAAGUCAGGCAAAAGCCUGAUAAGGGCUCGUAGCGGUACUGAGGUGCAUAUCGUCCGUCAAACUUGGAUACAGCGGCGAAAGACUAAUCGAACCGUGUGAUAGCUGG